AGGCAACAAAAUCAUACCAUUAUAUAAUGGUAGUCAUUAUCAAUUAAAGAAACUCGCUUUAUAAUCGUAAACACUCGAUAAAUUUCACUUUAUAUAAAAGUCUAUAUACCGCCGUUAUAAGGACAAACAAAAUAAACAAUCCUAAACUUUAUAAAAUUCAAAAUCAGGUCAAGGUGUAACCUUUAAUAAAGAAAAAGUAAGUUACAUUAAAAAUAAUUUAAGGAAAAUAUAUAAAAAUCACUUAGAAAGAGAAUUUAUUGGUACAUAAUAAUUAAAAAAUAAUAUAGAUUAAAAAGAUAAAGAU
rnacentral:rRNA from 1 species